rnacentral:rRNA from 1 species
AGUGAACGCUGGCGGUAGGCCUAACACAAGCAAGUCGAACGGCAGCACAGUAAGAGCUUGCUCUUACGGGUGGCGAGUGGCGGACGGGUGAGGAAUACAUCGGAAUCUACUUUUUCGCGGGGGAUAACGCAGGGAAACUUACGCUAAUACCGCAUACGACCUACGGGUAAAAGCAGGGGAUCUUCGGACCUUGCGCGAUUGAAUGAGCCGAUGUCGGAUUAGCUAGUUGGCGGGGUAAAGGCCCACCAAGGCGACGAUCCGUAGCUGGUCUGAGAGGAUGAUCAGCCACACUGGAACUGAGACACGGUCCAGACUCCUACGGGAGGCAGCAGUGGGGAAUAUUGGACAAUGGGCGCAAGCCUGAUCCAGCCAUACCGCGUGGGUGAAGAAGGCCUUCGGGUUGUAAAGCCCUUUUGUUGGGAAAGAAAAGCAGCAGGUUAAUACCCCGCUGUUCUGACGGUACCCAAAGAAUAAGCACCGGCUAACUUCGUG